UGAGGAACAUGACCUUCGGCGGGGGAUAGCCGGCCCAACGGCCGGGUAAUACCGCGUACGACCUUUUGGGGACAUCCCUGAAUGGUGAAAGCAGCAAUGCGCCGAUGGAGUGCCUCGCGGCCUAUCAGCUAGUUGGUGAGGUAACGCUCACCAAGGCAACGAUGGGUAGCUGGUCUGAGAGGACGACCAGCCCACACUGGAACUGAGAUACGGUCCAGACUCCGUACGGGGAGCAG
rnacentral:rRNA from 1 species